rnacentral:rRNA from 1 species
UGGGGAAUAUUACACAAUGGAGGAAACUCUGAUGUAGCAACGCCGCGUGGAGGAUGACACAUUUCGGUGCGUAAACUCCUUUUAUAUAGGAAGAUAAUGACGGUACUAUAUGAAUAAGCACCGGCUAACUCCGUGCCAGCAGCCGCGGUAAUACGGAGGGUGCAAGCGUUACUCGGAAUCACUGGGCGUAAAGCGCGCGCAGGCGGUCUUUUAAGUUGGAUGUGAAAUCCUAUGGCUCAACCAUAGAACUGCAUCCAAAACUGAAAGACUAGAGUCUGGGAGGGGAAGAUGGAAUUAGUGGUGUAGGGGUAAAAUCCGUAGAGAUCACUAGGAAUACCAAAAGCGAAGGCGAUCUUCUGGAACAGUACUGACGCUGAGGCGCGAAAGCGUGGGGAGCAAA